rnacentral:rRNA from 1 species
CCUACGGGCUGCAGCAGUGGGGAAUAUUGCACAAUGGGCGCAAGCCUGAUGCAGCCAUGCCGCGUGUGUGAAGAAGGCCUUCGGGUUGUAAAGCACUUUCAGCGGGGAGGAAGGCGGUGAGGUUAAUAACCUCAUCGAUUGACGUUACCCGCAGAAGAAGCACCGGCCAACUCCGUGCCAGCAGCCGCGGUAAUACGGAGGGUGCAAGCGAUAAUCGGAAUUACUGGGCGUAAAGCGCACGCAGGCGGUCUGUCAAGUCGGACGUGAAAUCCCCGGGCUCAACCUGGGAACUGCAUUCGAAACUGGCAGGCUAGAGUCUUGUAGAGGGGGGUAGAAUUCCAGGUGUAGCGGUGAAAAGUGUAGAGAUCUGGAGGAAUACCGGUGGCGAAGGCGGCCCCCUGGACAAAGUCUGACGCUCAGGUGCGAAAGCGUGGGGAGCAAACAGGAUUAGAUACCCCGGUAGUC